AGAGUUUGAUCAUGGCUCAGAACGAACGCUGGCGGCAUGCCUAACACAUGCAAGUCGAACGAGACCUUCGGGUCUAGUGGCGCACGGUGCGUAACGCGUGGGAUCUGCCCUUGGUUCGGAAUAACAGUUAGAAAUGACUGCUAAUACCGGAUGAUGACGAAAGUCCAAAGAUUUAUCGCCGAGGGAUGAGCCCGCGUAGGAUUAGCUAGUUGGUGAGGUAAAGGCUCACCAAGGCGACGAUCCUUAGCUGGUCUGAGAGGAUGAUCAGCCACACUGGGACUGAGACACGGCCCAGACUCCUACGGGAGGCAGUAGUGGGGAAUAUUGGACAAUGGGCGAAAGCCUGAUCCAGCAAUGCCGCGUGAGUGAUGAAGGCCUUAGGGUCGUAAAGCUCUUUUACCAGGGAUGAUAAUGACAGUACCUGGAGAAUAAGCUCCGGCUAACUCCGUG
rnacentral:rRNA from 1 species